GCGUUUCAGUUCCAAAAAUUGUUAGUACUAAAAUGUUUUUAAAUUCACGUGGAGCAGAUAUUUUGUUGGAGUUCUAAAUACGUUCGGUUUGGUUUGGUUGAUGUCUAAACGUGUCGUUGUGGCGCCAAUGCCCAUGCAUGUUUACAAUCGCUUAUCGAUACACCGCGUACACGGCAACCGUGUGUGACCAAUUCAAGCACGAAAUCGUUGACCAACACUAACUGUACAUCAGACGACACGACAACAAAAACAACAGCAGCAACACCACCGACGUGCUUGUUCCUGUGUGUGUGUGCGUGUGAGAUUGGAAGACAAUGGCUGCAGCUGCGGAUCUGGUUGUUCCUACCCUUGCCAUUCGCUCUAGCGUGGCCGUGGAAUUGUGGUCCUCGGCGGGCUCCAAGCAGCCCUUCGAGCACAAGCCCCACCUACCGCGCGAGGAGACGAAGAGCUCGCGCUCGAUCUGCUUCAGCUCCGACGGCCGGUACUUCGCCUACUCCAACGGGCAGGAAGUCAAGGUGCUCCAGGCCAGCCGGGACAGCGCAGCCAGCUGGCCGGUGGUAUGCCUGCUGCCCAGGCCGAAAGCCUUCUACCUCCAAUUCUCGCCACGUGGCAGCUACCUGUGCACCUGGGAGCACUAUGCCAUCACUAAGGACCGGCCGGAGGGGUCGCCCAAUCUGCUCGUCUACGAAGUGGCCACCGGUGUCGAAGUAUUCGCCAUCGUGCAGAAGAACCAAGCGGACUGGCAGCCAUCCUGGUCGGCGGACGAGUCCAUCUUUGCUCUGGUAGUCGGCGGCGAGGCACUCUUCUAUGACCUGGGCGAGGGAGCGGAGAAGGGAUUCGCCACCACAUCGCGCAAGAUAGGAGGCAGUCGCGGAGGUAUGCUGUCGCUGGGUCCCGGUAACUGCCCCCCGUUCCUUGCGUUCUACACGCCGGGAGCCAAGGGUGCUCCGUCCAUGUGCAAGCUCUAUAAGUACCCGGCGCUUGGCCAGAACCAGACCGUAGCCUGCAAGAGCUUCUUCCAGGCGGAUCGCGUCGAGAUGUUGUGGAACAAGCGAGGCAGCGGAUUGCUCCUCCUAACCAGCACGGAAGUGGAUAAGAGCGGUGCCUCCUACUACGGCAACCAGGCGGUGCACUUCAUGGCCACCAAGGGAGAUACCUGUUCAGUGCCUCUCUCUAAGGAGGGACCGGUGCACUGUGUCAAGUGGAGCCCUAAGGCAACCGAGUUUGUAGUCGUAUACGGCUUCAUGCCCUCCAAGGCUGCCCUCUACAACCUCAAGUGCGACGUAGUCUUCGACUUUGGUGAGGGACCACGCAACUGUGCCUACUUCAAUCCCUUUGGCAACCUCAUAGCUCUCGCCGGCUUCGGCAAUCUGCCUGGAGCCGUCGAGGUGUGGGAUGUGUCCAAACGCGAGAAACUGACCAGCCUAAAGUGCGCCGACACCACGGUUUUUGAGUGGCAUCCCAAUGGCGAGUGGUUCGUCACGGCCACCACCGCGCCCAGGCUGCGCAUUAGCAAUGGGUUCAAGGUGUACCACUACUCCGGGGCCCUGCUCCACGAGACCAUGUGGCCCCAGGGUCAGGAAUUGUUGGGAAUUGAAUGGCAGCAGUUUUCGGAUAAGACGUUCAGCGAGCCCAAGAUUACCAAGGCCAAGCACGAGGGCAUCAAGUCGAGCCAGCCAGAGGCCAGCAAGAAGGCUUACACACCGCCCCAUCUGCGCUUGUUGAAGGAGGGCAAGAAUCCGGAAAAGUAUCUGCCCCAGCCGAGUAUUCCCGGACUGGCACCAACGGCACCAGCAGGUAAUACGACGCGGAAGUUUUGGCACAGGCAAUACGACCUGGACAAUCCCAUUAUGCGGCGAGGCGAGCAGGGCCAGUGCCAGCUGGUGGCGGCGAAUGGCGCGGAAAGACCACCACUGUCUAACGGGUCCUCGACCAGCCGCCACAACAGGCGCUAUCGGCCCUACCAGCACAAACGCUACUAGGCUCACGACACACGCAGCUUGUCAGCUCCUCAGCUCCACUCACCCUUUCACACACAUUUUCUAUUAGCAUGCCAUUAGGAUUAGGGAUUGCGCGGUCGUGGUGUCAAUGGGAACAAGAGGAAUAACAAGAACAAGCAGCGAAGCGCUAGGAAGGAUGUGAACGUUGUAAAUGGCGGCGAUGCUGAUUCUGCCCCGACUGAGGUGGUCGAUCAAGCUGCUCCGGUUGCUCGACAGUCGCCCGUUUUCGUGGCUGCAGAUGAGCGGAGGCCGCAGAAUACUCCCAGACAGAAGUACCAGCCGGAUAACGCUGCCGAUCAGCCACCGAAUUCGCAUGGACAAGGCCAGCCUAAUGGCCAGCACAUCAGCGAUAAGGAGCGCAAGAUUCGUAGCGUCGCCAAGAAGCUGUCGGACAUUAAGAAGCUGAAAGUCCGACGCAGCCAGGGCGAGAAUCUAGAGCUGAACCAACUGAACAAGAUUAAGAUGGAAGCACAGUACCUGGAUGAGCUCAAGGCUCUCAAGCAGUCUGCCUAGGAGGACGUUGAUGACGUUGACGAUGACGAUGGCGGCGAGAAGGCUGAGGGAUGCGAGGAGUAAUUGCUCUUGUGAUUGUGAUACACCACCUCUUCUCAGCUCCACUCCACUCUACUCCAUUUUCACCUCCUGUUCGUCUCCUUCCUGCUGUUUUACGCUCAGUUUGUGGCCCAUUUGCCGCAUAAGUUUUCAAGUUAAAACAUUUUUCUACUAUUGUGAUUUCCUAACUAAUUUCGGCAAAACGUACAGUAACUCCCGUAAACAACAAAUUUAUGUACCAAAUUGUGCUACCAAGUAAUAAAGAUGUUUCCACCAAAA
rnacentral:misc_RNA from 1 species